UCUUUAAAAAAAAAAAAAAAAGGAAAAUGUUAGAAUGUCGGAAACCCUAGAAAGUAAUAGAUACAUAUUUUUUUUAAACGUGUUUUUACCUUGCUUUGACUAUUACUCAGAAUGGUAGUAAUAAGACGUUGCAGCUGAUUACAUGGUAAUAGAAAUUUAUAUUACUUAGGAUUUAUGACAAUUACUUUGAAGACUUUAUGUUUGCAUGCUAGUAUUUCAAAAGCUAUGACACGUUUUCUUAAAAGAUAAAGGUAUUUGUUCUGCAGAUUGACUACCUAUUACAGUUUCUCCUGUGUAUGAACUUUAUAUACAUGGAAUCAUGCAUUCUUUUGUCUUUUCUCUCAGUCAACAUUGUUAAGAGUCAGCUUCAAGAGCGACUGGGCUUGUCCACCACAAGCCAUUCAUGGUCCUGUUGAUAAACGUUUCUGGCUUUUACUAUUACCAAUGAUGAAUACUUUUGUUGAACGUCUGAUGUAAGGUCUAUAGCUAGGAGUCUCAUUGUUGUGUCACAGGGCACAACUUCAUUAAUUAAUGCCAAACUUUUUCCAACUGGCUUGUACCAACUCACACUCACACAGAAGCAAGUAAGCCUCCAUUCCACAGUAGCAAGGCUUUGUACAUCAGAUGUUUCUAUUUUUGCCCAUCUUACGGUGUAACUAUAUCUCAGAUUUUAAUUUUUAUUUCCAAUUACUAACAAUGCUGAAUAUAUUUAUUGAUUGGCCAUUUAGAUUUCUCCUUCUGUACAGUACUUAAAUCUUUCACACAAUUUCCCCCCCGGCUUCAGUUCUCUAUGUAUUCUGAAUAUUCAAUACUGUGCAAUGUCUUUGCAAAUGUUUUUCCAAUUUGUAGUUUGUCUUGUCAUUAUCCUUAUGGUAUCUUUUGAUUAAAAAAAGUUACUUCACUUCAGUGAAGUUGAAUAUAUGAAUCUUUCCUUUAGUUAGUACUUUUUAUGGCCUGUUUAAAAAGUUCUUCUACAUCGGGGCCACAGAGACACACUCUCAUAUUAUAUUCAAAAGACUUUUUAGUUUUGCUUUUCACAUCUAGGUUUUUAAUAAGUCUGGAGUUGACUUGUGUGUAGAAUAGUGGUAAUCUGGGAAAUUUUUUUUCCCAUAGGGACACCCAAUUGUCCAGCCACCUUUACUGAAAAGUCUAUCUUCAUACUACUGAUGUGCAAUGCCUCCUCUAUGAAAUUCCGAUAAAAGAUGACUUAAGGAAUCAACUAUGUUAACAGUAAAUGCCUGAGUAAUUUGCUCAUGACUUAACUCUUCAACCUUGAGAGGUCCUUACUGUCAUGUACUCAUUCCUACAUUUCUCUUUACUCUGUACUUUAAUGGAUGAAAAUUAUUUCUUGUUAGUAUAAACUUUCUGACGCAAUUUAUAAGAGAACACCAUUAAUAAUACAUACACGUAUUUUUUUAAGUUCCUGAAAAACCUGUUCGGUAUGAAAUUCUUCAAAAUCUCCUCUGAAGGACCAUCAUUAUUUUGAAUACUCCUCAAACAAAACCCUUAUGGCAGGCCAGCCAGUCUUCCUGCCAGCCAGCCACUAACAUACACCACAACCAUCUCUCCGUUGGCUAACAGAGGAGCGCCACACACCCCUCCCUGCCAUCUACCUCUAGGACCUAACAGGAUACUUUCAAAUAUGGGCUCACCUGGAUUAUGGGACUUUCACUGUCAAUUUUAAAUGUCACUGGAAGCACACCAUAUAAACGGAUUUGCAUUCUAAAAUAUUCCCUUCCUAUAUGGAGAAAUUUUUGUCAUUCAGCAUUCUUCAAAAAUCUUUAAGUGGUGAUAUCGUUAGUCAUAAUUUAAAAAAUACGGAUAAACACUUUGGAGACUUUUUGCUUUUCCCAUUCAGUUUUGUUUCUGAUAUGUAGUCCUGUUGCUGCCUGUACCUGUAAGUUCAUUUUUACUGCUGUAUCAUAUUUCCUUAUGUGAAGAGACAGCUUAAAUAGCCUGUAUCCUGACAAUGUACAGCUGGGUCAUUUCCAGUUUCUCAAA